GUUCUUAUAAAAAAAGAGAAAAUUGUUUAACAGCUAUCCACUUUAGAUAGGACAAAUCUAUCGUUUUUAUCGGGUUUAAUCAUUAUCUGAUUAUCAACUGUCUAGUGCAUAAUUCUAACAAAAACCAUAAUUGACACAGAUAUGGAGGAAGGGGGCAAGGAAAUGCAGCGAAUUCUCAGUAUGAAAGGAGGAGUAGGAGAGGAGAGCUACGCCAAUAACUCGAAAUCACAGAGUGCAUAUCUAUCCAAGACAGUGCCGCUACUAGAUCAAGCAGUGCUAGAUUUCUGUGAUGCCGACUUCACUGAGUGUGUUACUAUAGCAGACCUCGGAUGUUCUUCAGGGCCAAACAGUUUGUUUGCCAUUUCUCAGAUCACAAGCAUCAUCCACAAAAGGUUCUCUCAACUAGGUAGAUCCCCGCCGGAAUUUUGUGUGUUUUUGAAUGAUCUCCCAGGAAAUGAUUUCAACACUGUUUUCAAGUCCUUGCCAGUUUUCCAUGAGAAAAUGAGGAAAGAGAAUGGGCAAGAUUUUGGACCUUGUUAUGUUUCUGGGACUCCGGGUUCUUUUUAUGGGAGGCUUUUUCCGCCAGGUACCCUGCAUUUUGUGCACUCUGCUUCUAGUCUUCAUUGGCUUUCACAGGUUUGCUUCUAACCAUUAAAUUUCUAUUAGUUUUUUUGUUACUUUGUCAACCAUAUUUGCUAAAUUUCUCAUAAAUUGCAAAACCUCAAAUUAGAGACAUGGUAUCAAUUGAUAUCAGUAGCUGAAAAGUAAGUUGUCUGCAAAUAAUCGGAUUUGAUUUCUUCACAUUCAAACUGAAUUCUAUGAAAAGUGAGAAUUAAUGUGCCCACUCAUUAUACUAACUGUGGAAAAUAUCAUCUGGUAAGGUCUGCUGAUUCUGUUUUUAUCCCUGAUGAUUCUUUAAGGUGCCUCCAGAAUUGAGUGACAAAAUGAAUCCGCUAAUAAAUAAAGGAAAGAUAUUCAUUUCAAAGACAAGUCCUCCUGAUGUGAUAAACGCAUAUAAGGCACAAUUUCAGAGGGAUUUCUCUUCAUUUCUCGAGGCACGAUCAAUAGAAGUAGUUCCAGGAGGACGUAUGGUAUUGAUGUUCAGGGGAAGAAGACUUGCAGACCCCUCACCUGAUGAAAGCUGUUUACUGUGGGAUUAUUUAGGACAGGCAUUCCAAGAUUUAGUUUCAAAGGGAAUUAUUGAAGAAGAAAAAUUGGACACAUAUAAUACACCAUACUAUGAACCGUAUACAGAAGAUAUCAAAGCUGCGAUAGAAAAAGAAGGAUCCUUUGCUCUUGAUCGCCUUGCAACCAUUAUACUUCCUUGGGAUGGGUGUAAUGGAGGAGUGAAGUGUGACAGGGCAACAACAGCAAGAAACAUGGGAAAGGCCAUCAGAGCAGUGAAUGAGUCGAUGAUUCGAAAUCAUUUCGGGGAAGAAAUUGUGGAUUGUUUAUUUGAAAGGUUCACUGAAAUAAUGGCAACUGAUACAAAGGAAGUAGAGCAUGUCAGUGUUGUUGUUUCAGUAAUCCGAAAAGCAAUUUGAUUAUUGCAGCUUCUCCAUGUAAAAUCUUAUGGUUUAUUUGAAAAAGUUUAAAACAAGCAUAAAGGGGAAUUAAUUAAAACAAUAUUUGAACCAGAAGUUGAAGUGUUGCCUUGAU
rnacentral:misc_RNA from 1 species